CCCUCCUUGCCUGAGCUCAGCUCCCCCAUGUCCUGCCAAGACCCCCCACUGGCUUUAGAGCGGGUUUCACCUGGUACGUGGAGAGGCCACCUCGGGGUGGGGGCAAGAAAGAAGCCAGCUCAGUGGCGCACGCAGGAACGUGGUGCUCCGUUGCAAUAAAAAGAAGUAAUGAAAAAAAAAAAAAAAACAAAAACAAAAACAGGGAAAAACAGAGCGGGAGCUGCUGCAGCAACAAGGGCACGAAUGAAGAUAAACAAGAAACAGCUCAGCUCUGCAACCCAGUAACGCAGCAGGCCAGAGAAGCAACCCCUUACCUUGGGGAUUUCAAACGAAGGGUUGUUCACAGGGCCGGAGAAGUAAAUCUGCUCUGGAAGACACAGAAGGCAUCGAGAUAAGGAGAACUUGGG